UACGUAGGAGACGAGCGUUGUCCGGAGUUACUGGGCGUAAAGGGUGCGCAGGUGGUUGUGCGCGUGGGGGGUGAAAUCGCCCGGCUUAACUGGGCGGGGGCCUUCCAGACGGCGUGACUUGAGGCGCGGAGGGGGACGUGGAAUUCCGGGUGGAGCGGUGAAAUGCGUAGAUAUCGUUUGGAACGCCAAAGGUGAAAACAGGUCGCUGGGAGUGUGCUGACGCUGAGACACGAAAGCCAGGGGAGCAAACGGG
rnacentral:rRNA from 1 species